UACGUAGGCAGCGAGCGUUGUUCGGAGUUACUGGGCGUAAAGAGUGCGUAGGCGGUUUUCUAAGUUUGGUGUGAAAUCUCCCGGCUUAACUGGGAGGGUGCGCCGAAGACUGGAAGGCUUGAGUAUGGGAGAGGUAAGCGGAAUUCCUGGUGUAGCGGUGAAAUGCGUAGAUAUCAGGAGGAACACCUGCGGUGUAGACGGCUUACUGGACCAUAACUGACGCUGAUGCGCGAAAGCUAGGGGAGCAAACAGG
rnacentral:rRNA from 1 species